rnacentral:tRNA from 1 species
GGGGAUUUAGCUCAGUGGUAGAGCACUUGCCUAGCAAGCUCGAGACCCUGGGUUCGGUCCCCAGCUCCG